CGAAACGAAAGGCUACGUAAUAAACGGAGACUACCUAAAGGUGAGCUGACGAUAUGUGUUGGAAGUUUUUCCAAGCUUGAUAUGAUCAAGCAUCGCACGCUCCCUCUACCAAAGAGAUUGGUGUUAAAACUAAAUAAUUGUUAUUUGGUGUUUGCGUUGAGCAUAGACAUGAUUGGAUUACGUCUAUCGCAAUACGGUUAUUCAUUUAAGGAGAAUAAUGGUUACUCUGUUUAUUUGAAUAAUACCUUCAAUGGUCUUACACCUAAAAUGAAUGGUUUAUUAAAUCUCGAUCGUAGUGAUACACAUGUUCAUGCCAAAAGAUAG
rnacentral:rRNA from 1 species